AUACUUAGAGUUGGAAGAGACCACAAGGGCCAUCGAGUCCAACCCCCUGCCAAGCAGGAAACACCAUCAGAGCACUCCUGAUGCUGUUUCCUGCUUGGCAGGGGGUUGGACUCGAUGGCCCUUGUGGUCUCUUCCAACUCUAUGAUU